GACGAACGCUGGCGGCGUGCUUAACACAUGCAAGUCGAGCGGUAAGGCCCUUUCGGGGGUACACGAGCGGCGAACGGGUGAGUAACACGUGGGUGACCUGCCCUCAGCUCUGGGAUAAGCCUGGGAAACUGGGUCUAAUACUGGAUAUGACUCCACGGUGCAUGUCGUGGGGUGGAAAGCCUUGUGCGGCUGAGGAUGGGCCCGCGGCCUAUCAGCUUGUUGGUGGGGGAUGGCCUACCAAGCCGACGACGGGUAGCCGGCCUGAGAGGGCGACCGGCCACACUGGGACUGAGACACGGCCCAGACUCCUACGGGAGGCAGCAGUGGGGAAUCUUGCGCAAUGGGCGAAAGCCUGACGCAGCGACGCCGCGUGAGGGAUGACGGCCU
rnacentral:rRNA from 1 species